CUACGGGAGGCAGCAGUGGGGAAUUUUGGACAAUGGGCGCAAGCCUGAUCCAGCCAUUCCGCGUGCAGGAUGAAGGCCCUCGGGUUGUAAACUGCUUUUGUACGGAACGAAAAGGUGCCCUCUAAUACAGGGUGCUCAUGACGGUACCGUAAGAAUAAGCACCGGCUAACUACGUGCCAGCAGCCGCGGUAAUACGUAGGGUGCAAGCGUUAAUCGGAAUUACUGGGCGUAAAGCGUGCGCAGGCGGUUUUGUAAGACAGGUGUGAAAUCCCCGGGCUUAACCUGGGAACUGCACUUGUGACUGCAAAGCUGGAGUGCGGCAGAGGGGGAUGGAAUUCCGCGUGUAGCAGUGAAAUGCGUAGAUAUGCGGAGGAACACCGAUGGCGAAGGCAAUCCCCUGGGCCUGCACUGACGCUCAUGCACGAAAGCGUGGGGAGCAAACAGGAUUAGAAACCCGUGUAGUCC
rnacentral:rRNA from 1 species